rnacentral:rRNA from 1 species
GACAGAGGUGCCGAGCGUUAGGCGGAAUCACUGGGCUUAAAGCGUGUGUAGGCGGAUCGUUAAGUACCUUGUGAAAUCCCACGGCUCAACCGUGGAACGGCUGGGUAUACUGGCGGUCUUGGGCCAUUCAGGGGCGACUGGAACAAGCGGUGGAGCGGUGAAAUGCGUAGAUAUCGCUUGGAACGCCGAAGGUGAAAACAGGUCGCUGGGGAUGUGCCGACGCUGAGACACGAAAGCCAGGGGAGCAAACGGG